rnacentral:rRNA from 1 species
CCUACGGGUGGCAGCAGUCGAGAAUCUUUGACAAUGGGCGAAACACUGAAGGUGCGACGCCGCGUGGGGGAAUGAAGGUCUUCGGAUUGUAAACCUCUGUUAUGUGGGAGCAAAUUAAAAAGAUAGUACCCCAAGAGGAAUAGCCGGAUAACACUGGGCCAGGAGCCGCGGUACUACAGACGCCGUAAGCGGUGUUCGGGAUCACUGGGCGUAAAGCGUGCGGAGGCGGGUUCGUAAGUCGUGUGUGAAAGGGGCGGGGUCAAACCGCGGACGGCAGAUGAAACUGGCAGGUUAGAGUAGGAGAGGGGGAAGCGGAAUGCGCGGUGUAGCGGUGAAAUGCAUAGAUAUCGAGAGGAACACUCGUGGCGAAGGCAGGUUCCUGGACAUUAACUGACGCUGAGGCACGAAGGCCAGGGGAGCGAAAGGGAUUAGAUACCCGUGUAGUC